AGUUACAAUCGGUUGGUUCGGUAUUGGAAUUGGACUGGAUUCGCGUGCUUAGUUGGAAUCAGUUCGAGUUCCCAGUUCUCUUCUACAUCAUCUUCAGCGACACACACACUGAACGCUGCGAUGUGUGUAUUUGUGGAUGCCCAUUCGAAUUGACAUUGUCAUAGAGUAAGACCUCCGCACAGCCGUUCCAGCAGCAACUCAUCGCUUCAGUUCAAUGGUUUAGGUGAGGAUCUUUACGAGGUUGAGCUCUGAUAUUUGACGGGCGGCGACAUCCUUCACCGUGAAAUUUCUGAGCUUUUACCCUUUUGGUCUUUCUGUAAUUUACGAUAGGGAAAGGAAAAAAAGAGUGGCGUCCCUUUUCGUUUUUUUUUACAGGAGAAGCAUGUGGAUGCCGCUGUACCUGUACAGAUGAUAGUUCACUCGUUCGCUAGAUGCAAAAUGUAUCAAGGAGAGACAUAGGUUAAGAUAGCAACCAAGAUGUAGAAAGGCUGGCAAUACCCAUUUUUUUUUCUAUAAAUACUUAAAUUAUAACCAUGAUUCAUUGUUAAGCUGGACGCUUGGAAAACUUCCAUGAAUAACUUCCAUGCGGCUAGUAAGCUCAAUAAUGUUGGUACAUUUGCUCUUCUAAAUCAUCAAUGCUCGGCUGGGAGCCUUUCUGCUGGUUGGUUUAUCAUUAGAUAUUCAGACGGAGAAUGCAAAUGUAAUUGAAAAUUGAAUUCGGUUUCCUAUUCUGGACAUGCUGUUUCGUCAUGUUAGAUAGACUAUCUCAUCUGGAUGUCCUCGACACGCAGCUCCUCCAUGGAUAUCCUGGAGAUGUUGUUUC
rnacentral:lncRNA from 1 species